UACGGAGGGGACUAGCGUUGUUCGGAAUUACUGGGCGUAAAGCGCACGUAGGCGGAUUUGUAAGUCAGGGGUGAAAUCCCGGGGCUCAACCUCGGAACUGCCUUUGAUACUGAUAGUCUCGAGUCCGGAAGAGGUGAGUGGAAUUCCGAGUGUAGAGGUGAAAUUCGUAGAUAUUCGGAGGAACACCAGUGGCGAAGGCGGCUCACUGGUCCGGUACUGACGCUGAGGUGCGAAAGCGUGGGGAGCAAACAGG
rnacentral:rRNA from 1 species